rnacentral:rRNA from 1 species
UACGUAGGGCGCAAGCGUUAUCCGGAAUUAUUGGGCGUAAAGAGCUCGUAGGCGGUUUGUCGCGUCUGCCGUGAAAGUCCGGGGCUCAACUCCGGAUCUGCGGUGGGUACGGGCAGACUAGAGUGAUGUAGGGGAGACUGGAAUUCCUGGUGUAGCGGUGAAAUGCGCAGGAUAUCAGGAGGAACACCGAUGGCGAAGGCAGGGUCUCUGGGCAUUAACUGACGCUGAGGAGCGAAAGCAUGGGGAGCGAACAGG